rnacentral:rRNA from 1 species
CUUCGGAGUGAGCGGCGGACGGGUUAGUAACGCGUGGGAACGUGCCCUUCUCUAAGGAAUAGCCACUGGAAACGGUGAGUAAUACCUUAUACGCCCUUCGGGGGAAAGAUUUAUCGGAGAAGGAUCGGCCCGCGUUAGAUUAGAUAGUUGGUGGGGUAAUGGCCUACCAAGUCUACGAUCUAUAGCUGGUUUUAGAGGAUGAUCAGCAACACUGGGACUGAGACACGGCCCAGACUCCUACGGGAGGCAGCAGUGGGGAAUCUUGGACAAUGGGCGCAAGCCUGAUCCAGCCAUGCCGCGUGAGUGAUGAAGGCCUUAGGGUCGUAAAGCUCUUUCGCCAGAGAUGAUAAUGACAGUAUCUGGUAAAGAAACCCCGGCUAACUCCGUGCCAGCAGCCGCGGUAAUACGGAGGGGGUUAGCGUUGUUCGGAAUUACUGGGCGUAAAGCGCACGUAGGCGGAUCAGAAAGUAUAGGGUGAAAUCCCAGGGCUCAACCCUGGAACUGCCUUGUAAACUCCUGAUCUUGAGUUCG